rnacentral:tRNA from 1 species
CAAUGGCUCAGUUGGUUAGAGCGCCGCCCUGUCACGGCGGAGGUCGAGGGUUCAAGUCCCUCUUGG